UAUGUUGUAUGGUUAUUGGUAUAAAAUUUAAACGAUGUAUUCAUCGACAUAUAAAACGGUGUGCGUAUCGAAAUAUAAGUUAGCGUGUUGCACCAAAGUCAGAUAGAAGAAUAAAUCGAUACUUAUAGUUUCGAGAUUUUAAUUAUUUUUGAGAGUUCGAUUUGAGCUAAUGAAUUGCGAAGUGUUGAAAUAAGGAUAUAGAAAAUUGUUACGAAACUGCUUGUUUCUCGGUGGGCCGCGCCGGCUGGCUACACGUCUGUAGCAAAGCAGACUUACACAACACUAUGCUUAGCGAAAUCGAUAACACCAAACAAUCGGAACUUCUGACAGAUGAACAACGUAAACAGCUGUGACGAUAAGUAAAUGUAAACAACAAAGAUGAGAUGUUGAUAUAAACUAACAAAAACACUAUUAAUCCACUUUACUUUUGCAGAUCGGUCACCGGUUCCGGACCCAGUGUACCCGCCAAACCAUGAGACGAUCACCUACUCGUCUCACACUUUUGGCCAUUAGAUGGCUAUCAGCCUGUGCCGGCUGUUAUGACAACUCUCCCCAUCAAAGAAAAUUUAGGCGGACAUUUCUCUCUUCAGAUACGGUUAUCUUCAAGCUGUUAUUGAUUAUUUCGUACACGCGAACAUUUCCGGCAUUUUAAACCAGAUGCAAUAAUCUUUGGGCCCUUUCCUUCCCGGUUCUCACUUUCGAAAUUUACUUAAUUUAAACUAGUCGGAGCACAAUGAGGAGUCUGCGUCUGACUCUGUCGUUUACUCAGGCGAGAAGGCACGAAAUGGAACAGACUCACUCGGAUGAUAUGGGCGUGGUCUCGCCCGUGGACGCCUCUUCGUCGUGUGAGUCCCGUCCGUGGUGGAUUACGCCGAUACUUGGCCGUGCUUUGAAAAUCCGGCUCGUGAAUAUCUGGGUUGAUCUGGCCAGCGUCCUCCGGCGCGGGAUUCAAGCGUUGUGUGCCACAGAAUGGCUGCGGCUGCUCUAAUAGAGUAUCGCUUUUGUAGUCAUUUUAAAUGACGACAGUGUGUUUCUGGUCUAUUAUUGUUUUGUGUAUUAUCGCUCUGGUGCACUAUUUCUUUUGCAAUACGUUAGCACAUAAGGAAUUAUCUUGGCAAUUUACUAAUAAAGAAAGCCUGUCAUGAGAAAA